GACAGAGGAUGCAAGCGUUAUCCGGAAUGAUUGGGCGUAAAGAGCUCGUAGGCGGUUUGUCGCGUCUGCUGUGAAAACCCGAGGCUCAACCUCGGGCCUGCAGUUGAUACGGGCAGGCUAGAGUUCGGUAGGGGAGACUGGAAUUCCUGGUGUAGCGGUGAAAUGCGCAGAUAUCAGGAGGAACACCGGUGGCGAAGGCGGGUCUCUGGGCCGAUACUGACGUGAGGAGCGAAAGCGUGGGGAGCGAACAGG
rnacentral:rRNA from 1 species